rnacentral:rRNA from 1 species
UGCAGUCGAGCGGGAACUUCGGUUUCCAGCGGCGGACGGGUGAGUAACACGUGGGCAACCUGCCUCACAAUGAGGGAUAGCCUUCCGAAAGGAAGAUUAAUACCUCAUAACACAAGAAAAACGCAUGUUUUUCUUGCCAAAGAAUUUCGUUGUGAGAUGGGCCCGCGGCGCAUUAGCUUGUUGGUGAGGUAACGGCUCACCAAGGCUGCGAUGCGUAGCCGACCUGAGAGGGUGAUCGGCCACAUUGGAACUGAGACACGGUCCAGACUCCUACGGGAGGCAGCAGUGGGGAAUAUUGCACAAUGGAGGAAACUCUGAUGCAGCAACGCCGCGUGAGUGAUGAAGGUCUUCGGAUUGUAAAGCUCUGUCUUCUGGGACGAUAAUGACGGUACCAGAGGAGGAAGCCACGGCUAACUACGUGCCAGCAGCCGCGGUAAUACGUAGGUGGCAAGCGUUGUCCGGAUUUACUGGGCGUAAAGGAUGUGUAGGCGGAUAUUUAAGUGAGAUGUGAAAUCCCCGGGCUUAACUUGGGGGCUGCAUUUCAAACUGGAUGUCUAGAGUGCAGGAGAGGAAAGCAGAA